rnacentral:tRNA from 1 species
AGUAGAGUAGUUAAUAAUUUAUAAUAUCUAAUCGUCAUUUAAAAGUUACCAGUGGUGUGGUCUCUGUGU